rnacentral:rRNA from 1 species
GAUGAACGCUGACAGAAUGCUUAACACAUGCAAGUCUUUGGCGAAGCUGUGCUUGCACCGCCUAGCCAAGGCGGACGGGUGAGUAACGCGUAAGGAACUUGCCCUGCAGUCAGGGAUAACAGACGGAAACGACUGAUAAGACCUGGUAAAGUCAGGCGGACUCAUGUCCAGCCUGAUGAAAAGAGAUGCUGCAGGAGAGCCUUGCGUCCUAUUAGCUUGUUGGUGGGGUAACGGCCCACCAAGGCGAUGAUAGGUAGCCGGCCUGAGAGGGUGGACGGCCACAAGGGGACUGAGAUACGGCCCUUACUCCUACGGGAGGCAGCAGUGGGGAAUAUUGGACAAUGGGGGCAACCCUGAUCCAGCAAUUCGGUGUGCACGAUGAAGGUUUUCGGAUUGUAAAGUGCUUUCAGCAGGGAAGAAAAAAUGACGGUACCUGCAGAAGAAGCGACGGCUAAAUACGUG